rnacentral:SRP_RNA from 1 species
AGCCGGGGACGUGGCGGAGCCCUGUACCUGCAAUCCGCCUGAGCAGGGGUGAUGCUCUGUCUGAGGGCCGGGCCGGUGGGGCUGCCCGCAGUAAGUGGUAUUGACGUUUGGGUCUUACGCAACGGGACCUUGUGAACCGUGUCAGGUCGGGAACGAAGCAGCACUAAGCAAGUCAUCCCGUGUGCCGUGAGGGAGCCUGGACCGAGCCGUCUGCUGCGGUAACGCCUGUUAGUCCGUUUCGAAGCAGAGCGCGC